CUUUGAUUAGUUGUAAAAAAAAAUUACUACUGUCCAAUUUUGUGCCUUCGUUAUGCUGUCCAAAAUUUGAACAAAUUAAUGGUUCUAUUUUCAUGCCGAUUGGGGGGUUGUAUGGACAGUCCCAUUUGUUGCAUUAUGCUGUCCAGUUUAGGGACCAAUUAAUUGAGUUAUUACAGGAUUAAAAAGAAUGGAUUUUUGUUGUGAUGAGCUAAUAAAUUUUAAUACUAUUAAGUGUGU
rnacentral:lncRNA from 1 species